ensembl:lncRNA
UGCAGUCGGACAGAGAGAUGCUGCACUCCAUCAACUGCCAAUCAGGGGGGGAGGGGCAGGACGCUCACCAGGUGCCCCCCGACGCGGCGAAAAAACAAAGGAUGAAAUCAGACCAUAGAUUCUAUGGAAGCUGUGAUCACAUCAGAGGUUCUGCAGAGCUUCAGCUCGCUGGUGGACUUUCUCAGAAUGGAGAUGAAAGAGGUCGCCACGUGAAAACAUCUAAAAGUCAAGUCAAACGUGGGGACAAAACGCAACUCAAAGACCACGGCGUAAGAACGGGUGUCGCCAAGAAUAAAAUCCAACGGCCAGCUUCCCCCUAUCACGUCUCCUCUGCGCCCGUCUAUCGGAAAGACGGAGGCAAAGGAUUUGCAAGUUGCAGUGAUGUAGAGGAGCAAAAGCUCGAGGAACCUGCAACCAACGAGGAUGAAAAUGAUUCGCCUUCCUCCGAUCUGAGAGCCAAGUGGUUCCUCUCCUCCAGCCAGUGGCAAGGGUUCGUACCCGUGCAGAUCCCAGGCGCAGACGUGUGCCGUGGGGCGGUACCGCACGCUGACGACCAACCUGCGUCCACCGACGACGUGGUCGAUUCCAACGAAAUGUCAUCGGCGGUCAGUGAAAGCUUAGAGAAAAUGAAAGAGAACCAUUCACUCUUCUACAAGAUCACGUGUGAUAUCGCUAUUUCAGACACGGACAUUACAACCAAUGAUGAGAAUUCAAGCGGCCGAUGCCGGGCCGACGAUGAAGAGCUGCAGAUCAUUGAAUCUGCGCCGGAUGAAGCCACCAUUAAUGUCGGAGACGCCCCGGAUGGUGGGCAUGUGACGUCCAGAGAAGCGCUACGUUCGGGGAAGGAGUCAGAGGACAGGGAGGCGGACCGAGGGAGAACCGAAGAGCCGAGGAAAUGUCGCAGUUUGAGCGAGGACAACAGAGAGACGGAGGAAGGAUCAAAGGAGGGAAGCGGCGGCGGCGGCGGCACCACCAGGCCCUCCAGCGGCCUUCGCGAGGGCGCGGGUGGAACUCGGAGCUCCUCUUUUGGGAACGCACGGGUGACAGUGCUGAGGACAAGCUUGUAGAUGUGGUUUGUGGUAGUUUGUAGAACAGCGAAGGCUUACGAGAACAAACUUGAGGAGAACAAGAAUAGAGUCAAGAGAUUUUUUUGCGGGGGAAAGGAAAAAGACUGAAGAAGAGGACUUUAAGUGAUUGAAGGAAUCUGCACCUACUUUUGGAUUAUAAAAUGACAAAAUGGGAACAUAUAAUGUCAGAAAUAGUCCCAAUGUUUAGUAAACUCAUACAUUUCCAUUAUAUUAGGUCUGAAACAGAUGCAAUUAUAGCAGAAAGUUUUACAAAUAUUUCAUUAAAAAAAAAAAGAUUUAAAUCUAAUAUCCAUCCCGCAGGUUGUUUUUUGUUGGUGAUAAACAUCAAAUACCGUAGUCCAAAAAAUGCCCAGUAUUAUUUCAUUCCUCAUAAAUCUAACACAGAAUUGAUGUGGAUUGCUGCUCGUGGAUAGCAACAUAACCCAGUUAUUGUCCCUGUAACAACGUGUUUUGUAUCUCAAAUAUCCUGAUAAAUAAAAACGGUCGAAACGCCUCGUCUGUGCAAGAAACUCUCGAUUCAAAUAUUCUUCAUUUUCGCUCAAUAAAAGCGCCACCAGCAUCCUCGGCUGCAAAGGUUCUGCUCUCUGACGAAGCCCUGAUGCAGAAUUAAACAGCGAUGGUAAAAAUGCCUUUGUCACUUUAAAUCCAUGCCGCGUCUCAGUCGAUGACAUCAUUGUCUAAGAACACAUUACAUCACCCCUUCCCAGGCGCUCGCGCUCUUAAAGACAGCACCACCUUAUGUUUACUGGGCUACACACACACACACACGCAUAUGCACCGAGAGAGACCCUGCUUAUCUGUUUACAAACGGCAAAUAAAUAACAAUAUGCAUAUUAAAGCAUCCAUGCAUGCGGCUGAUUCAACCAAUGUAUUGAAAGCUGCCGUUUUGAUGUAAAAAUAUUCACUUUUUUUAUUCAACAUAGUCCUGCUGUUAGUUUUUAACUAUGAGUUAAUAUGCAGUUUUUUAUAUGCAGUAUUCAUACCUCAAGAUGCACAUACAUUGUCCCCUAACGACUAUUUAUGGUAACGACUUCCAUAAAAUGAAUGCUGAUGAAGUUUGAGUUAUUAUUUAUUUAUAUAUAUAUUCAUCAGAAUAGAAUACUUUUGUCAUGACAGACACAAACACACUCAGAUCCACCACUGCUUUGUGAUAUAAUGAAGCAUUUGAAUGCAGUGUAUCGCUUUAUUUAUUAAAUCACUGAUGUCCGGAUCCAGGUGCAGGUACAUAUAUGAUAAAUAUGAUUUACAACAUGUCCGUCAGUUAGUUGGCCUUUGAUACGCGUAACUAAUCAGGUGCUUGAUUGGCCUGCGAGCGCGCGCGAGAGCGUGGCGCGCGCGUCCAUCACAGAGAUGCGGGGAAUGCUGGGAGAAUGUUUCUUUAAGACCCAUUACCUUCCCAUCCGACAGAGGGGGAGACCGCGGUAAGGUGGCGCGUCGUCUCUCUCCGCGUCCCCCUCCUCGCCGUUUACAUGUGCAGAAGGAGAGACAGAGAGAAAAAGAAGAAGAAGAAGAAAAAAAGAAGCCCACAUUUUCUCCG